UACGUAGGGGGCAAGCGUUGUCCGGAAUCAUUGGGCGUAAAGAGCGUGUAGGCGGCCUGGUAAGUCCGCUGUGAAAGUCCAGGGCUCAACCCUGGAAUGCCGGUGGAAACUGUCAGGCUCGAGUCCGGAAGAGGCGAGUGAAAUUCCUGGUGUAGCGGUGAAAUGCGCAGAUAUCAGGAGGAACACCAAUGGCGAAGGCAGCUCGCUGGGACGGUACUGACGCUGAGACGCGAAAGCGUGGGGAGCAAACAGG
rnacentral:rRNA from 1 species